rnacentral:rRNA from 1 species
UACGUAGGGUGCAAGCGUUUGUCCGGAAUUAUUGGGCGUAAAGAGCUCGUAGGCGGUUUUGUCGCGUCUGCUGUGAAAACCCGAGGCUCAACCUCGGGCCUGCAGUGGGUACGGGCAGACUAGAGUGCGGUAGGGGGAGAUUGGAAUUCCUGGUGUAGCGGUGGAAUGCGCAGAUAUCAGGAGGAACACCAAUGGCGAAGGCAGAUCUCUGGGCCGUAACUGACGCUGAGGAGCGAAAGCAUGGGGAGCGAACAGG